UGACACAUUUUUUGGAAUAUU
rnacentral:piRNA from 1 species